UACAGAGGGGGCAAGCGUUGUUCGGAAUUACUGGGCGUAAAGGGCGCGUAGGCGGCCUGCUAAGUCGAACGUGAAAUCCCCGGGCUCAACCCGGGAACUGCGUCCGAUACUGGUAGGCUUGAAUCCGGGAGAGGGAUGCGGAAUUCCAGGUGUAGCGGUGAAAUGCGUAGAUAUCUGGAGGAACACCGGUGGCGAAGGCGGCAUCCUGGACCGGCAUUGACGCUGAGGCGCGAAAGCUAGGGGAGCAAACGGG
rnacentral:rRNA from 1 species